rnacentral:rRNA from 1 species
GACGAACGCUGGCGGCAGGCUUAACACAUGCAAGUCGAGCGCCCCGCAAGGGGAGCGGCAGACGGGUGAGUAACACGUGGGAAUCUACCCAUCCCUGCGGAACAACUCCGGGAAACUGGAGCUAGUACCGCAUACGCCCUUCGGGGGAAAGAUUUAUCGGGGAUGGAUGAGCCCGCGUUGGAUUAGCUAGUUGGUGGGGUAAAGGCCUACCAAGGCGACGAUCAAUAGCUGGUCUGAGAGGAUGAUCAGCCACAUUGGGACUGAGACAAGGCCCAAACUCCUACGGGAGGCAGCAGUGGGGAAUAUUGGACAAUGGGCGCAAGCCUGAUCCAGCCAUGCCGCGUGAGUGAUGAAGGCCUUAGGGUUGUAAAGCUCUUUCACCGAUGAAGAUAAUGACGGUAGUCGGAGAAGAAGCCCCGGCUAACUUCGUGCCAGCAGCCGCCGCCG